CACGGGGGUUGCGAGCGUUGUCCGGAACUACUAGGCGUAAAGGGCAGGCAGGCGGAUCCAUAAGUUUAUCGUUUAAGGCGUCGGCUUAACCGGCGUAGGGCGGUAGAUACUGUGGAUCUGGAAUGCGGUUGGGGAAGACAGAAUUCCUGGUGUAGCGGUGGAAUGCGCAGAGAUCAGGAGGAAUACCGAAGGCGAAGGCAGUCUUCCAAGCCGUUAUUGACGCUCAACCGCGAAGGUGUGGGUAUCAAACAGGAUUAGAUACCCUGGUAGUCCCUGAG
rnacentral:rRNA from 1 species